GAUGAACGCUGGCGGCGUGCCUAAUACAUGCAAGUCGAACGCAUUGAGAGAAGUGCUUGCACUUUUCAAUUUGAGUGGCGAACGGGUGAGUAACACGUGGGCAACCUACCUGAUAGCGGGGGAUAACGAGUGGAAACAUUCGCUAAUACCGCAUAACAAUAGAGAAGGCAUCUUCUUUAUUUAAAAGGCGCUUUCAAGCGUCACUAUCAGAUGGGCCCGCGGUGCAUCAGUUAGUUGGUGGGGUGAAGGCCUACCAAGACGAUGAUGCAUAGCCGAGUUGAGAGACUGAUCGGCCACAUUGGGACUGAGACACGGCCCAAACUCCUGCGGGAGGCUGCCGUAGGGAAUCUUCCACAAUGGACGAAAGUCUGAUGGAGCAACGCCGCGUGUGUGAUGAAGGCUUUCGGGUCGUAAAGCACUGUUGUAUGGGAAGAAAUGCUAGGCUAGGAAAUGAGCUUAGUUUGACGGUACCAUACCAGAAAGGGACGGCUAAAUACGUGCCAGCCGCCGCGGUAA
rnacentral:rRNA from 1 species